GGCACCCCUGCAUUGUCUCUUAAAAUAACAGAACUGAGAGGUGAGAGAGACAAGUGGCUUGCCAAGGCUAUACAACAGAGAAUGUGGCCCACCAGGAAUCAAACCCAGGCCUGUAUGACUCCAGAGGAGGGGAGUCAGAAGCUUGGGUGCCCAGAAGCUAGUUUAUUUGUUCCCUGUGCACUGACGGACCAGGGGGAUGGAGCCUGCUUUGCUACAGAGAACAUAGGUUCCAAGAAUGGUGGUUUAUGUACUUACCCAGAGAGGUCCUUUAUUUUCCUUUAUUUGAGGGUUGUAGGAAGGGGAUCUCAGAGACUUAUCUUGCCCCAGACUAGUCCCUUAUUGCUUGAUGGGAAUAUUUUGGUAGUUCCUAACUGGCCCACUCAUGCUCCUUCACCAAGUUUGUCCUUGCUGUUGUUUCUAACUAGAAAACUCUUCCUGCCCACCAGGCACUCAACUCAAUGAACUCCUACUUACCUGUCAAAACCCAGCUCAUAUGUCCCUUCUGUUGUUUUCUUCUUAUCAACAACAUUUAUAGAUGCCCUUCCUGGCAUCUGUAGAAUAAUACCAAUAAUAUUAAUAGUAGCUAUCAUUUGGAGAUCCCCACUUUGUGCCAGGCAAUUUUAACCAUUGACAUAUUUGUUCCUUUUAAGUCUCAUGGGAAUUAUGCAAUGAAAGUAUAAUUAUUUACAUCUCUUUCAGAAGAAGAAACAACCUUAGAGAAGUUAGGAAAUUUGCCCAGAAUCACACAACCAGGAUGUGAUGCAACAGGUCUUUCUGACUCCAAAGUCAUACUUUCCCCUAACCCCACAUCCUCUCUCCUACGGCAGUCACCUUGAAUUGCAAAUCCUGUUUACUGCUGUUUUCACCAUUGCCUUGUGAGCCCUAGAAGGCAAGUAGUCAGUCACUCUGAUUUUAGAACUGUGACCCUACUGCCCCGUGUGGGGUCUGCUCCCCAGUGGCUGCUCCUAAAAGUGACACAGGAGUGAAUUGUUCCAUUUGCUGGGACCCAGCCUGGAAAGUCAAUGCAGCCUAUUUGUCCUAUCCCUGCAGAGGGGGCAGGCUUGUUAUCUGUCCUGGAAGGGCGAUAAAGGGGCAGGUCUUGCCUCCUUGAGGACUUGCAGAUGUUUCCUGAGGCCAUGAGAGCACUUUCUGCUUCUUGCCAGUCCGUGUGAGCUGCUAGGAGAGUGGGCUUCAUGGCUCUGCUAGCGUGAAUGUCAACAACCAACUCCAGCCAGCACUCUGGAAAUCGCACAGAACAGUUGGGGCCCGUAGGGGCCUGUGGAGGAUGGAGGCACCAUCCCCAGCUGGCCGGAUUUUUGCUCCAGCCCAAAAGAGGCUUCACUGUCGGGACAGCAGAACUGGGUGGGUGGGACCUCCAGCUUUGUAGUUAGCUCUGGCUUUGAACACCAUCUCCACCGCUUACUAAUCCGUGGCCUUGGAGCAAAUUUGGCAACCUUCCUAAACCUCAAUUACUUCAUUUUUACCUGGGAAUAAUUGCCUCCUUUUUUUAAAAUUAUGGAUAAAAAGAGAUAACGCACAUCAACCCUUGCCACCUAGCCCGGUACAAUGCCAGCAUCUAGUGACAGGGAUGCCAACGAUAGUAAUAGCAAUAGGAAUUAUUGUUAUUUUUGAAAAAAAUCCAUAAGAGAUAUUUGUUGUUUGCAGCCAAGAAUCCUAUCUGAUAUGGUUACUGUUAUUAGUUGGGGAGAAGAGGAGUUCUCUAGGACAGGCCAUUGGGGCCGGAGGGAUGGUUUCCCCUGGGCCAGUACAAGAGCUGACUGACAGAGUAAUCUCCUGUGCUUUAGCGUGAGCAAGUGUGGUUCUGCCUGGAUCCCAGCUCCUGGAGUAACCUGAGAUGGGAGUGUCCUGGUCAAGACUCAAAUCCCUAUUCUUCCCGACCCCAGGCGGCAAUCUUUCUUCUGUCCUGACCACCUAAGGGGGGAUUGAGCAAUUAGCAGUUAUUAAAAUCAUGGACUAUAUUUUGGAGAAAAUUAAUAAUAAUUUUAUAUUGAACCAUCCUGAAAAGUUAGCAUUUUCCCCAGGUUUAUUUUAUUUACUUAUCUAAGCACCCAAAUAUCCACAAAAUAGAGAUGUGCUUUAUUUAAGUUGUAUUUAAAAUUUCCGUGAGCUCUUCCAGUUUUUAGGUAUAGCCCUCUGGGGAAGAAAUUGAUAGACCUGUGCAGUUUUGAUUUCUCAUAUAGUCACCGGACGUUCUUUCAUACGUGUUUUUCCGGGUCUUGACAAGAUUUAUAUUGGUCAUUUAUAAGGCUUGUCAUAAUAUUCCUUCAAGUGGAUGGGCCAGUUUGUCCUUCCCCUGUCCUUUGGCACUGGGGUAGUUCCAACUUUCUGCUGUUGUAUAUAAUACUAUCAACCUUUAUGAAAACAAGCUUCGAAAACAAUCUUUGGAAGUAUUUCCUUGCGACACAUUCCUAGAAGCAGACUGAAGGACCAAAGGGUGGGAAUAGGUUUUCUUGGCCUUGUAGCUUAAGGUUAGAUCAUUCCCAAGGAGAGAUAAAACCAAAUCGCAGAGAUUGCCCAUGUGUUCUCUCCUGGUCUGAAAUGGGAAAGAAAUACAGACGCAGUGCCAAAGAGACGACAAGACAAUUUGCUGAGCCAGACAGAACUUUCUGGAAGGGGCUAGACUUUUCCAUGAGAACAUCCUCAACUGAUACCCAGUUCUCUGACUGUCCACUUAUUUGGGGCCACCCCACCCUUCCACAGGAGUCAGACUCCAGCCAUUAGUGCAGACCCUACAAAUUCCGGAGAGUCAGAUGCCUGUGGUGGGUGGAGUAAAUGUCCUACCCGAAGAAGGCCACGUAGCCUGGUGGAGUGAACGCUGGAGCCUGGAGCCAGAAGCCCCGGCUGCAGGCAGGCAGGGCCCUGCCAUACACCUGGUACCUCCACAGGUGCUCCCUCCCGAGCCCACCUGGAGGGCAGAUUACCAAAAUUAAGUUUUGGUAUAUUUCUUUCACUCAGGACUUUUGACUUUGGAAAAAAUACAGGACUCCCUGGGAGAGGGCAUAGUGCCACCUAUCCCUCCUGGGUAAACCGUCUUGUCAUCACUGACCCUGAGAACUAGUCGGACUGGAGAAGACAGUGAAGGGUCCCCGACAAGACUCUGAGAGCCGGGGAAGGAGCCCCAUGAAGGAGAUGAAGCUCAGAAUCUAGCCUUUCUCAGAAACUUUGAGAACAGCGUUCUCUGGUUGCCUCUGGCCUGUGUGGCUGCCCCAGGAGCGCCGAGUUCCCUGGGGGAGAAGCAGAGGAGCCCUCCUGAGGUGGUGGCCUAGGCAGAAAGCCCAGGUGGAUGGAUGUCUGCUGUUGAACUGGAAAGCUGGGUAGGAGCAGGAGUCAGACAGUAGCCCUCGCGACCCCAGGCUAGCCAGGCACCCGAGAGCACCCGGUCCUGACAGGUACCAGCAGGAUGCUGCUGUGAUUUCUGCUUUGCUGUAGCUCUGCUCCUUGGGGACUGGGAUCAUGCCGUGACUUCUUCUUGGGCCAAGCACAGCACAGUAGGUCGUGGUGCAGACCACAGGCUCCUCCCAGAUUUUAUCUCCUACCCUCUUCCCCUCAUUCACCGUGCCCUCCGCAUGCUGGCUCUUCUGUUCCUCUGUCCCAGAGAUGGACUUGCCAUCUAUCUUCCUCCUUGCCCUCCUUCCGGUCUCGCCUCUUUUCUGAGAUGUCAUGUUGGCCCCGAGUCACUGUUCAACCCGUCCCUAGCGUGUUUUUUUCGUAGCAAUUUCCCACGAUCAUCUGAUUUCCUUUAACGGACUCCCCAACCGGAAAGGAAGCUCCAAGAGGGCAGCCUCAAAGGCCUUUGUGCUCUCUGUUCAGGGCAGAGAACCAUGUGGGCAUGUGUAAGGGAAUCCAUCUAAGACUCCCUCCUACCCCCACGCCCCAGAGCUGCCCUUGUGCUUCCUUCAUUCAGUUGUAACAUUUUUCUCUUCUGAGGGCUCUGCCCAAGGGCCUGGCAGGGGAGAGAGCUUGGCUGGCCUGUGUGCAGAUUGGGGUUCCAGCCUGACUCGGCAGUUUCACAUACGGUGCCAUCUGGGCCACCUCCUACCAGGGUCUGCAGGAGGAGAAGAAGGGACCCAGCGGGCGGAAGCGCACAGAGGCAGACUGUAGUCCCAUCUGAAGAGGACGUUGGAACAGAGCUGAUGGGAGACAGGAGGGUCAUUCCUCAGCUUACCUAGGCUAGCUCCACGCCUCCCUGGCCCGCUCACCACCCUCUGCCUCCUUGGGGUCUGCCUCCCCACCUGCAGCCUGGGAGAGCUCCCUGGCUGCUGGAGCUCUUUCCCAGCACAGGCACUGGUCACCCUACCUUGCUAAGGAGACUGGACCAGAUGCUCCCUGGGGGCCAUUUCACCCCCAGUUCCGGGGCCCAGUGGAGAGCUGUUUAUCUCUAAGCCACGGACUGGGGACCGCAGGACCUUCAGGCUGGAGAAGAUGACAGUCUGGGUGAAGAUAGUAAUGAUGUGCGGAGGUUAAAGUUCAGUGAUCCGGGGCACAAGCUCCCAGCUCAGGGACCACAUCCGCCCCACCUGCUGCUUGCUCGUCACUCAAAGCUGAGCGUCUGAGUCAGGAAUGCCUCAUCUAGAAGAAAAAUGAGUUCCAGGCCUGCUUCUGCUGCCAAGUUACGAUGGUAGUGGAUCCCAAACCGAAGGAACAGAAUAGAGCACAUGUGAAGAAGUCCUGGGGGUGGUGCUUCACAGAAAACUCAAAACAGGACCCCCGGGAUGGAAUCCGCACCUGCGUUUUCUGGCUGUAUCCCAGAAGUGGGGUCUGAGAUACUGUCUGUGUUGCUCACGCUCCCCCUGAAGGAUUCAAAGGGACAGGAAUGGGCUGCAGUUAGGAGCCCUGGAAACCAGUGUCCCGGCAGGGGCAGGAGGAGUGAGGCGUGUUGGACAUGGAUAUCUGUGGACUCAGGAGACAGAAGCCGUAGGCGACCCGUGCUUCCCGGAGGGCGCGCCUCCGGUCCAAGGUGGCAUUCGGCUUUGGUAAGGGGCCCCACACAGACGGUCCUUCUGUUACCGAGUGAGAAGCAGAGCGGCGGGAGCGGGAGCGGAGCUAGUGUUCAAAAUGCGAAGUCUAGAAAAGCUCUUAGAAUCCCCGUUCCUCCCUCCUUCCACCUUCCGGAUGGGGGCACCAGGCUGGAGAGGUGACUCCUCCAAAGCCCGGUAGUAGGUUAGGGCAGGACUAGGGCUGGAGCCCACACCCGCCGCUCCCCUGCUCAGCGGCAGAGUCUGCUCAGCCCAUCCCCUGAGAGUCCUUCUGUUUGGGCCCUCGGAGCGCCCACGGUCCUCCAAUCACUCCCGAGGCCGCUGCCCCAGAAACCUUUGCUUGCGGCGGAGGCGAGGCCGCUUCUGGAAUACUAGCGAUGGGGCUCUGCGUGGGGUCCGUGCUUUCCAGUUUGCAAAACACUUCUGCGUCCUUUCUGUCGCCUGCUCUGGACUUCUGCCCUCCUCCACUUCCUCCAACCUCUGUUUUCUGCUCGGGCCUCCCAGAGAGGCGGUUUGUAUGCGGAGGAGGUCAAGGCCUCCGGAGCCCACGUGCGUAAGACUGAAGCCUGCAGAGGGCUGGUGCGGCCUUUCGUGAGUCCCCCGGGAGGGCUUCGCUGGGCCUCCGUCUCCUCGUCCGCCAAGCGCAGAUGGUCAUCGGAGUAUCUAGUCCUCGAGUGCUCCUGUGAGGCCUCGGUGCGUUAACUCGAGCUCGGGACCGUCCCCCGCACGCCGUCAGAGCUUCCCAGACACCAGCACCUUCCCCACUCCCAUUAGCCUGUCCGGCAUUUGCUAUUUCACAACCGUGAUCUGGGACGCCAGAGCCCUUCUCCGCCUCGUUCCCCUCUCCUCGGAGGCUCUGCUCACUCGGCCCUCCCUGCGCAGUACUCCUUUGAUGCCUUCCUCCCAGCGCUGCGCGGUCAGGCUCCCUGUCGGAGCUGGCAGAUCUCCGAGGGCAUCUUGAGCGGCGACACCGCGCCCCGGGGUGGGGGUGGGGGGGCAGGCGAAUCUCUCUGCUUCCUUGAUGUUCGGUGACUGCAUGAGUCACCCAGUGAUCUCCCAAUCUAGACAUCCAUCUUGAUGUCUUUCUUUCCCCUCACCCCACACCCAAUCCAAGUCUUGACAAGUCCCGGUGGAAACUGGAUCCUGAAUGUGCCUCUAGGCCAGUCCCAGGCCAGGGCCCGCCCCCGUCUGUCUUCUCACCCCUGGGCAACUGGGCCUUCUCUGCUUCCAUGCCCCUACCCUUGCUGCCCCGGGAUGCACCUUCAUCCCUCUCCUUAACACUCUCCCUUGACUUGCUGUUGCUCUUGGUCGAAACUCCCAUCCGCAGGCAUGGCUGCAGAGCUCUGCCUCGCUUGCUCCCACCUCGUCCACUUCCCCUUCACUCUGUAAGCUUCACUGCCCUGGUCUACUUCCAGCUCCUUCCCCGCCUCCUGUCCUGCAUUUGCCGCUCCUUCUGCUUUCUGCUCAGCCAGCUGCUUCUUUUGAUUUCAGGUUGAAGGUCACAUCCUCUGAGAGGCUUUCCCUGUCCGACUUGAGGGGGGACGUCUCCCAGUUAUUCUGUGUCCCAGCACCCUUUUAAUCUCCUUCAUACAGCCCAUUAUUUAUCUGUGAAUAUCUUGCUUACUUACCUAUUUAUUUGUUAGCUGGCUAUCUCACUUGCUAUAUU